rnacentral:rRNA from 1 species
CUAAUACAUGCAAGUCGGACGGGAUCCGUCGGAGAGCUUGCUCGAAGACGGUGAGAGUGGCGCACGGGUGCGUAACGCGUGAGCAACCUACCUCUAUCAGGGGGAUAGCCUCUCGAAAGAGAGAUUAACACCGCAUAACAUAUCUGACCGGCAUCGGUUGGAUAUUAAAUAUUUAUAGGAUAGAGAUGGGCUCGCGUGACAUUAGCUAGUUGGUAGGGUAACGGCUUACCAAGGCGACGAUGUCUAGGGGCUCUGAGAGGAGAAUCCCCCACACUGGUACUGAGACACGGACCAGACUCCUACGGGAGGCAGCAGUAAGGAAUAUUGGUCAAUGGGCGGAAGCCUGAACCAGCCAUGCCGCGUGCAGGAUGACUGCCCUAUGGGUUGUAAACUGCUUUUGUCCAGGAAUAAACCUUUCUACGUGUAGCUAGCUGAAUGUACUGGAAGAAUAAGGAUCGGCUAACUCCGUGCCAGCAGCCGCGGUAAUACGGAGGAUCCGAGCGUUAUCCGGAUUUAUUGGGUUUAAAGGGUGCGUAGGCGGCCUAUUAAGUCAGGGGUGAAAUACGGUGGCUCAACCAUCGCAGUGCCUUUGAUACUGAUGGGCUUGAAUCCAUUUGAAGUGGGCGGAAUAAGACAAGUAGCGUUGAAAUGCAUAGAUAUGUCUUAGAACUCCGAUUGCGAAGGCAGCUCACUAA